GCAGUCGUACGAGAAAUCCCGAGCUUGCUUGGGAGAGUAAAGUGGCGCACGGGUGAGUAACGCGUGGGUAACCUACCUUCGAAUCUGGGAUAACUCCGCGAAAGCGGUGCUAAUACCGGAUAAGACCACGGCCGUUUCGGCGGCAGAGGUAAAAGCUGACCUCUCCAUGGAAGUUAGCGUUCGAGGACGGGCCCGCGUCCUAUCAGCUUGUUGGUGGGGUAAAGGCCUACCAAGGCAGCGACGGGUAGCUGGUCUGAGAGGAUGAUCAGCCACACUGGAACUGGAACACGGUCCAGACUCCUACGGGAGGCAGCAGUGAGGAAUUUUGCGCAAUGGGGGAAACCCUGACGCAGCAACGCCGCGUGGGUGAAGAAGGCUUUCGGGUCGUAAAGCCCUGUCAGGUGGGAAGAAACUCUUCAGUACUAAUAAUGCUGAAGCCUGACGGUACCACCAGAGGAAGCACCGGCCAACUCCGUGCCAGCAGCCGCGGUAAUACGGAGGGUGCAAGCGUUGUUCGGAAUCAUUGGGCGUAAAGAGCGUGUAGGCGGCUUGGUAAGUCAGAUGUGAAAGCCCUGGGCUCAACCCAGGAAGUGCAUUUGAAACUACCAGACUUGAGUACGGGAGAGGAGGGGGGAAUUCCCGGUGUAGAGGUGAAAUUCGUAGAUAUCGGGAGGAAUACCGGUGGCGAAGGCGCCC
rnacentral:rRNA from 1 species